GAUGAACGCUGGCGGCGUGCCUAAUACAUGCAAGUCGAGCGAACAGACGAGGAGCUUGCUCCUCUGACGUUAGCGGCGGACGGGUGAGUAACACGUGGAUAACCUACCUAUAAGACUGGGAUAACUUCGGGAAACCGGAGCUAAUACCGGAUAAUAUAUUGAACCGCAUGGUUCAAUAGUGAAAGACGGUUUUGCUGUCACUUAUAGAUGGAUCCGCGCCGCAUUAGCUAGUUGGUAAGGUAACGGCUUACCAAGGCGACGAUGCGUAGCCGACCUGAGAGGGUGAUCGGCCACACUGGAACUGAGACGCGGUCCAGACUCCUACGGGAGGCAGCAGAAGGGAAUCUUCCGCAAUGGGCGAAAGCCUGACGGAGCAACGCCGCGUGAGUGAUGAAGGUCUUCGGAUCGUAAAACUCUGUUAUUAGGGAAGAACAAAUGUGUAAGUAACUAUGCACGUCUUGACGGUACCUAAUCAGAAAGCCACGGCUAACUACGUG
rnacentral:rRNA from 1 species